rnacentral:rRNA from 1 species
GAUGAACGCUGGCGGCGUGCCUAAUACAUGCAAGUCGAGCGAACAGAUGAGGAGCUUGCUCCUCUGACGUUAGCGGCGGACGGGUGAGUAACACGUGGAUAACCUACCUAUAAGACUGGGAUAACUUCGGGAAACCGGAGCUAAUACCGGAUAAUAUAUUGAACCGCAUGGUUCAAUAGUGAAAGACGGUUUUGCUGCCACUUAUAGAUGGAUCCGCGCCGCAUUAGCUAGUUGGUAAGGUAACGGCUUACCAAGGCAACGAUGCGUAGCCGACCUGAGAGGGUGAUCGCCCACACUGGAACUGAGACACGGUCCAGACUCCUACGGGAGGCAGCAGUAGGGAAUCUUCCGCAAUGGGCGAAAGCCUGACGGAGCAACGCCGCGUGAGUGAUGAAGGUCUUCGGAUCGUAAAACUCUGUUAUUAGGGAAGAACAAAUGUGUAAGUAACUAUGCACGUCUUGACGGUACCUAAUCAGAAAGCCACGGCUAACUACGUG